UACGACGGUUUGAAGCACCAUCGGUCGGGAAAGUGCACGAAGUCAUGAGGAGGUGAACGCCGGUAGGACUACAGCCAUCCGGUGUCAGAAACGCUAAGAAUCAAGGCCCAAAGCUCUGACGGCGUGUGGCUUCUCUCUCUCGCAUUUUUACGGCCGAAGCUCGCCAUUGGGGUGUUGCCAGAGGUCACUGGUGUCGAGGGUGGUGGUUGGAAACGCUGGCCGGCGAUAGGUGGCAGGGGAGGUGGCCGGAAGCAAAGGAGAAGGGAGGGAGAACAAGGGAAUCGGGGAGAGAGAA
rnacentral:misc_RNA from 1 species